rnacentral:lncRNA from 1 species
CCUGCGGAAGGAAACCGGAAGAGAAGAAAAAAAAAUGAUUUGAUAUUUCUUUCAAUAUAAAAACAGGAAAAUUGGAUGGAAAGAAGCUCUUCCCCCCCUCUGCUUCCUUCCCGUCUACAACAUUUAUCGAUCCAUCUUGAUCGAUCGACGACGAUCGGAAAAAAAAACCUGCCGACAGUUUUGAGUGACGUGCUGCUCGUCUCGGUCCCUCCUUGUCUAAUAAUCGGAUCUGGCGGCUCCUUUUUGACUUGGCUCACGCUUCAUUUCACAACUGGAAGGUGCGGAUUAUAGAACAACGUACACACAGCAGCAGCCAGCCAGCCAGCAGGAGUGUGUUGGAAAGGCCCCGUUAUUGUUUCCACCGUCAGUGCGUUAAUCAGGUUCUCUCUUUUGUAGAGCGUUGAAAAAUGCUAAUUUAGUUAUAUCUUAGAGAGUUCUAGAUAUAUAUAUUUCUUUAUUGCGGGUUUUUGGGUUGUUGUGAGCAUUGCUCUGAAUUCAAUGGCCGGCUGCUGCGGUUUGUGUAAUAACCUCCGUAACUUUUGUUUCCAGCGUUCGUGCUCGGACUAUUUAUUCGAUGCUAUACAAAGUUGGAAGAAGAAGAAAAAAAGGGGCCGGACAUUUUCGGUCGUCUUAUGCAAAUACUACUACGCCGCACAGUCGAGAAGAAGAAGAAAAGACAAAGAAUAUCAUUUGUCUGUUCUUCUUCUUUUUAUUCAAAUGCUGCAAACGUAAAAGGGAAAGAAAAAUGCUGGAUGGGCCGUUUUGAUAUUUCCUUGUGAGCGUCUUUUUUUUGGCAUCGUGACCCAUCGCCACCAGAUGCCAAACUGCCGUCCGCUUUUUUCUUUCUCUUUUGCGCUGACUUAUCGAUCGAUAUUUAUAUAGUGAGCGGAGAGGGGGGUGAGUCAGAGCUUUUUAGAUGUCGAUCGAUCCAUCAGUCGUGUAGUGACGGGCCCAGGUGAAUUGCAUUUGCAACCGAGAGAAAGAGGAGCCGGGCAUCAGGAGCAGAAAUGAAGCUCACAAUUCGAUUUUCGUUUUGCUCGCUAGCCAUUCGAGUUCCGUUCCUUUGAGUGCCAACGAUCAAAGAAGCUCCGGUGAUUGCCAAUCGUUUUUCUCCAGUCUGUGACGUAGUAGUCGACGAUCGAUCGGCCAAACAUAUAAUCUCUCUCGCACAAGAAUAGGAGGGAUAGGAAACUGGAUCGACUUGACAUCUGCCAGUGUCAAUUAUAAUCCUCUACAACUUUCCCUCUUUUUAUAUUUUUUAAAAGUUUCUUGGCGUCGGGACGACGGGACGCCAGUCAAGGAUAUCAUUUAACAAACAUACAGGGACCUUCUCUCUUAUAUAUUUUUCUGCGUGUAUCGAAUGUGCUGGAGCGUGAAAAAUCGUGUCGGUUAUAUCACGCCGAGUCGUCAGUAAAUCAAUCGCCGAUCCAUGAAAUGUGAAAUGGACAACAACAACAACAACUUGAAAAAAAGAAAAAAACUGGAACACUGGGAAAUUUAAAUUUUUUUGUUUUUUAAAUUUGUUAUGUAAUCCGGUCCUCGCUGACAGCUGAUGUGCCCAGCCAAAAAAAACGAGAACAACAGCAGCAGAACACACACCUGAGACGUCAUUUAUUAUCCUUACAAGAGAGAAAGUUGUGAUGGCCGCCUCUCUCUCGACCAAUAUGGCCAGGCAGCAAGGAUCGGCUGCUAGCUGCCUACUCCGUGCAUAUGAUGGAUGCGCUGCGGAGGCGAAUGAUCGACACACACACUGGGGCAUUAUUAUUUCACGAGGUGAGUCAUCAUCUUGUACAUCAAAAACAUCUUUUCUCUAUUCCAGCUACUAGCUAGCUAGCCAGAGAAAAGGUGUCACUUUCUUUUAAUCUUUUCUGUCCACACACACAAACUGUGACACGUUCUGAUGUUUAUUCAAUUUUUAUCUUUGCGGUUUUUUUUUGUAUUAAAACGGUGAGACUGGCCUUGUGAAUAUUUUUCGUGUCCUUGCAAUCGGGUCAAGGCGCCAGGCAGUUGUUUUCUUUUUUUUUUCUUUAGACUGAAGACUGACCAUAUUAGCGUUUAUGCCUUUAACAUGUUUCGCUAUCUUGUAUUUAUGUUUCCAAACGAGCUGCUGGUUUGGUUGGCUUGCACGCGACUUUCUACAGCGUGGAGAUUCUUCUGCUUUUAUUCG